rnacentral:lncRNA from 1 species
CCUUUUUCCCCGCCGCAAGCUUGUUGCGGGUUCACCAUAUUUAAGGGUCUUCUUACCUCCCUGCAAGCCAUAACCCGCUAGUUGCUGCUACCAGCCCGCACUCGCCGGGGCUUUCUCCCAAGGCCUCGAUAUGGUGGUGAACGUGGCACGGAGGAGUCGGACCUUCCUUCCCAGUGGGCCCGAGCUCCAGAAGGGACCCUCGGUCUUGAGAGGGGUCGGAUCCCGCUGGGGCCGCGCCCUUCUCUCGCUUCGGCCUGCGCAACUCUGCGCUCUGGGCUGACAGUUCUCAUUUUGCUGUCCAGAUGAAGACUCUGAGAUGACAGAAGGUGAUCUGUCUGGUGAUCAAGGACUCCCGGGGUCACAUCAGUGAUGAAAUGCAGGGGACCUGGUAGGUUUCUUUUGGAGACUGACUGGGGGCUCCCUGGUGGGACAGAACAGCAUGUUUCCAAGGGCUGUGGCUGGUGGUAGCCAUGGGAUCUCCAACUGCAUGCAAGAGCAACCUGGAAAGACUUUGACAGCGCAGGUCAGUACAAUACCUGCAAGCUGCCACUCAGCUUUCCUAUAAUGUUUCAGGACCAGGGCUGGAAGCCUUCCACGUGUCAACUUCCAAUGUAGAUGGGUGGUUUUUUUUUUUUUGAGGCGGAGUCUCGCUCUGUCACCCAGGCUGGAGUGCAGUGGCACGAUCUUGGCUCACGGCAACCUCUACCUCCUGGGUUCAAGUGAUUCUCCUGCCUCAGCCUUCCGAGUAUCUGGGAUUACAGGUGCCCGCCAUCACACCCAGCUAAUUUUCUUGUAUUUUUAGUAUAGAUGGGUUUCACCGUGUUGGCUAGAUUGGUCUUGAACUCCUGACCUCAGGUGAUUCGCCCCCUUGGCCUCCCCUCCCAAAGUGCUGGGAUUACAGGCAUGAACCACCACUCUUGGCCAGUUUAGCUUUCACACUAAGCUUUUUGUUCUGCAGGUUGCCCCAAGUUUCCUGGCCGUGUGUGAUCCUGAGGAGGUGAGCUUGUUUCUGGAGCUGUGCUUUAAGGUAAAGUUGAUGUGGAACACAGCUUAAUCCUCCUGUUCCCUUUCCCAUCGGAUCUGAACACCGGUCUUGGUGGUCGUAAAAGGAGGAAAAGUAAUAGUGAAGCUGGCCUGAAUGUUGUAAUCUGGUAUAUGGCAUGUGGGCUAGUUUCAGACAGGUUCAGAGAUGGUUGGAUCUCUGAAAUUGUAAAAUGAAAUAUAGGCUAAGGGAAGGAUGUGUAUGAAGCUCUGGAGGUUGGUAUAGUAAUAGCAUUUGGGAGGGAUCUGUCAUAGCUUUCUUGCCUCUUAAUUAAGGUGUUAUUUUCUUUUAGAUUCAUGUUACAUGCAAAGCUGUCCUCGUGUGACUAUGGACCUAUGGAGUUGGGUAAGUUAGUGGCCACCCGAAGCUCUGUCAGCGUGUAGCUGCAGGUAGUGCUCAGUUUUCGGGGAUCCUGUCCUAAGUAGUCAGCCUAAUAGAACUAUAAGGUUACUUAGGUCUGUGUCAAAUUUUUUUUUUUUUUUAAGACAGGGUCUUUCUGUCACCCAGGCUGGAGUGCAGUGGCACGAUCUUGGCUUAUUGCAAACUCCGUCUCCCAGGUUCAAGUGAUUCUUCUGCCUCAGCCUCCUGAGUAGCUGGGACUAUAAGCAUGCACCACUAUGCCCGGCUAAUUUUUGUAUUUUAAGUAGAGACAGGGUUUUGCCAUGUUGCCCAGGGCAGUCUUGAACUCCUGACCCCAAGUGAUCUGCCUGCCUUGGCCUACCAAAGUGCUGGGAUUACAGGCAUUUCAGUAACAUUUACAUUUAUUUGGCCUUCCUCGUGUGCCCUGUUUGUUAGCUGUUCAUUACCAGAGGGCAAAGGUGCUUAGAACAUGAUUUGCCCACCCUGCAAGACCACAUAUUGCUGGAAGUUGAAGGCAGCAGAGGGCACCGUGGGCCACAAGGCCUGGUAGCCGCAAAUGUUCAGUGGUGGCUGGAGCUCAUGAUGCAUUCUUUGGUAGGACUUCAAGGGGUUCCAUGUAGCACACACUAUUUAGAAUGACUGGUCCAGGAUGAAACAAUCUGAGUGGACAUCCAUGGAUGAGAAAUGCGGAUAUGGGACUGAGACCAGCUCCUAGGAAAAUGCCUGGGUGUGGGGGAAAUCUGGGAAUUUCUAACACAAUGGCUUAUACUUCCUUUGCAGGAGAAUCUCUACGGGAAGCAAAAGGCAAGACCCCGGUCAUUUUAGGUAGAAACAACAGCAUGCUCUAGGUGUAGAUCAAUUGAAGAUUAAUAAAGACUGAUAAAAG